ensembl:snoRNA
UGCAGCCAUGUCCAAUUCAGCCCAAAAGGCUGCCAUAGGAACACUGUAACUCAUGGCCCCUGAACCCCUUGCCUGGGCUCAGGGAUAAAUUUGAUCACAGACAUAA